AGCGGAGUAGAGGAGCGGCACCUUGGCAGGUUCAUACCCUGCAGACGCGGGUUCGAGUCCCGCCUCCGCAACCA
rnacentral:tRNA from 1 species